UGCCAGCCGCCGCGGUAAGACGGAGGGUGCAAACGUUGUUCGGAAUCACUGGGCAUAAAGCGCACGUAGGCGGCCAAGUCAGUUCGGUGUGAAAGCCCCCGGCUCAACCGGGGAAUUGCAUCGGAUACUGCUUGGCUAGAGGACGGUUGGGGUGAGUGGAACUCCUGGUGGAGCGGUGAAAUGCGUAGAUAUCAGGAGGAACACCGAUGGCGAAGGCAUCUCUCUGGGUCGAUAUUGACGCUGAGGCGCGAAGGCGUGGGUAGCGAACGGGAUUAGAUA
rnacentral:rRNA from 1 species